AACGAACGCUGGCGGCGUGCUUAACACAUGCAAGUCGAACGCGAAAGGGACCUCGGUCCUGAGUAAAGUAGGCGCACGGGUGAGUAACGCGUAGAUAACCUGUCUUCAUGUCUGGAAUAAUACGCCGAAAGGGGUACUAAUACCGGAUAUUCUUGCUUUUCAUAAGUUAUGCAAGCAAAGGUGGCCUCUGCAUAUGCUACUGCAUGAAGAGGGGUCUGCGUACCAUUAGCUAGUAGGUGGGGUAAUGGCCUACCUAGGCGACGAUGGUUAGCGGGUCUGAGAGGAUGAUCCGCCACACUGGCACUGGAACACGGGCCAGACUCCUACGGGAGGCAGCAGUGAGGAAUAUUGCGCAAUGGGGGAAACCCUGACGCAGCGACGCCGCGUGAGUGAGGAAGGCCUUCGGGUCGUAAAGCUCUGUCAAGAGGAAAGAAGUGUACAAUGGCUAAUACCUGUUGUAUUUGACGGUACCUCUAAAGGAAGCACCGGCUAACUCCGUGCCAGCCGCCGC
rnacentral:rRNA from 1 species